UCUGCAUACAAGUAUUCACAAGCUAUUGAUCUAUACACACAAGCAACUGAAUUGAACAAUGAGAAUAUUGCAUAUUGGGCUAAUUGUGUGCUUUCUCGCACUAAAUUGGAGGAAUGGCAGAACAACACAGGACACACGAAAUAAAUAGCUAUUGAAUUGACUCUAAAGAUUCAUAAAUUAAUUUUAUGUUUUAUACUGAAUCUAGUCUCUAAAUAAAUUAGUAUCUGGUACAACUUAAGAGUGGGAGCGAGAAAAAAGUGCGCUGAAACACACAUUAAGAAAAUUAAAAAAUAAAGUUGAAAGAUAUAUUUUCUCUAAACCUCAUCAGGCAUCAAUCAAGGCAUCAAAAGUAAAAAUUAAAAUUCUUAAAAAAUAAAACAAAAACUCUUUGUUUUUAAACAUAUAUAGUAUUGUGCCCUAGCAGCAGCUCUUGUGCAAAUCACUAUUCUCAACUAACACUCAGCAAAGAAUGGAGUUUGUAGUUAGUCACGGCAGCUACCCCAAGACAGAGAAAGCACAACAGUUCGCCCAAAUCUAUUUCCGUCUUCUCUAAUCUUGGGCACUAUUUAUACGGGAUGAGAACAAAGACUUCCAAACCUUACCAUGUCUUCUAAUUGAGGAAAGGGAGUGAUACCUCAGAAUUAUGUGGUUCUUGAGAAUAUGAAAGUUAAUACUCUAUUUCCAUCUUCUAUAAAUGAAGUUAUAUACUACACCCAAAGAGAUGAGACAAGUAAAUUUUUUCUUAUCUAUUUAGAUUUUAAGUCAACUUCUUGAUUGUUUCUGCUAUUUCAUAUUAUGUUUCUUUUACAUUUCUUAAGUAUUUGCAGAUUACGCUUUGCUCUAAUUUGCUUUUUUGUUCAUAUUUGGUUGUUCUUUCAUGGAGAGUAUAAGGAUUCCGGAAUAGCAUGAUACUUUUCUAGUCCAACAUUUUCUAUCCAAACUCGAACUUGUGCUCAUUUAAACUAAAAUUUUCUUCUGUUCUAGUUUAUGUUUAAUUCAUUCCACGACUCCUGGUCGUUUAAAUCUCUCUUUUCGUACUCGUCUAAGCUCUGUGUCUUUGCAUGAUUGGUUUUUAUUAAGACUUUCUUGUUCAUGUGCACUCUUUACGUCAUUAACAAUUUCAACAGAUUGACAACUUACGUAUUCUGCUAACAAAGUAAGUUUCAUAUACCCUUAUUGAUUUACGUAUAGUCAUUUCAAUGGUUAUUGCAUAAUUGAACUAUUAGGAAACCACUAAAAUGGUCGAUCAUGUUGGGUGAUUUUAUCCUCUCAACUGGUGGUUGUGUGAUUACCUGUAGCCUUUGACUCUCAGUUAUUGAACCAAUGCUUUAUAGCUCAAGUUAUUUGUGUCAUGAUGCGUAUCUUUGCUUGACUUUUGUGAGAAAAAUUUAAUGAUGUUAUUGAAAGAAAAAAAUGUAGUUCCCCAACUAUAUACAUAGUGAAACAUCUAAUAAAAAAACUAGAUCCCUGUUAAUAGGUAUGAUCAUUGGGCAAGAAUCAUUUAGAUCUGAUUCAUGAUACAUAGCUGAAGUUGAUUCCUCUGUAUUUUACUUCCUACAAAACUAUAUGUACUCGUCUUUUUCAUCUAUUUUUUAUACACUACAAUGCAGGUUACCUUA